AUUGAACGCUGGCGGCAUGGCUAAAACAUGCAAGUCGAGGGCGAAUCCACUUCGGUGGAGGAGACCGGCGGAAGGGCUAGUAAUAGUAUCGAACGUACCCCAAGGUGGGGGAUAGCCGCGGGAAACUGCGGGUAAUACCCCAUGUGCUCUACGGAGGAAAGCUCCGGCGCCUCGGGUGCGGCGAUACUCCUAUCAGGUAGUUGGCGGGGUAAGAGCCCACCAAGCCGAAGACGGGUAGCGGGUGUGAGAGCAUGGCCCGCAGCAUCGAGACUGAGACACUGCUCGGACUCCUACGGGAGGCUGCAGUAACGAAUCUUCCGCAAUGCGCGAAAGCGUGACGGAGCAAUGCCGCGUGUGGGAUGAAGCGGUUUUUCCGUGUAAACCACUGUCAGGGUCCAGGAAACAAUGACCAGACCCAAAGGAAGGGGCGGCUAACCUCGUA
rnacentral:rRNA from 1 species